rnacentral:sRNA from 1 species
CGAGAUGCUCAGCCUCUCGCUGCACUACAGCAAUGCGCUGCAGGAGAAGGAGCUGGCCGCCUCACGCUGCCGCAGCCUGCAGGAGGAGCUGUAUCUACUGAAGCAGGAGCUGCAGCGAGCCAACAUGGUUUCCUCCUGCGAGCUGGAAUUGCAAGAGCAGUCCCUGAGGACGGCCAGCCACCAGGAGUCCAGGGAUGAGGAGCUGAACCGCCUGAAGGAGGAGAAUGAGAAACUGCGCUCGCUGACUUUCAGCCUGGUAGGUUCCGGUCCCCCCAGCAGAGAGCAGCCUCCUGCCUUGGGGGCUUGGCCCCCAGGCUGUGGGGUUUCUGACAGGUGGUUUAAUUAAGGUGAGGCUAAGAACAAGAGAUGAAAUUUAGUGACUCAUCUCACCCACUUUCUCUUUACCUCCUUCCUUCCUGCUGUUCCCCAGACCCCAAAAUUGGCAGAAUUAAAAGCUGCUGGAACAGAAUUAAAAGCUGGAACUGGGCACAGUGGCUCAUUCCUGUAAUCCCAGCACUUGGGAGGCCAAGAUGGGCAGAUAGCUUGAGCUCA